GCUACAUGCUAUUGAGUCUUUACUAGCGACAUGCUACAUGCAUUUGAGUCUUUACUAGCGACAUGCUACAUGCUAUUGAGUCUUUACUAGCGACAUGCUACAUGCUAUUGAGUCUUUACUAGCGACAUGCUACAUGCUAUUGAGUCUUUACUAGCGACAUGCUACAUGCUAUUGAGUCUUUACUAGCGACAUGCUACAUGUUAUUGAGUCUUUACUAGCGACAUGCUACAUGCUAUUGAGUCUUUACUAGCGACAUGCUACAUGCUAUUGAGUCUUUACUAGCGACAUGCUACAUGGUAUUGAGUCUUUACUAGCGACAUGCUACAUGGUAUUGAGUCUUUACUAGCGACAUGCUACAUGCUAUUGAGUCUUUACUAGCGACAUGCUACAUGGUAUUGAGUCUUUACUAGCGACAUGCUACAUGCUAUUGAGCCUUUACUAGCGACAUGCUACAUGCUAUUGAGUCUUUACUAACGACAUGCUACAUGCUAUUGAGUCUUUACUAGCGAUAUGCUACAUGUAUUUGAGUCUUUACUAGCCGAUAUGCUACAUGCAUUUGAGUCUUUACUAGCGACAUGCUACAUGCUAUUGAGUCUUUACUAGCGAAAUGCUACAUGCUAUUGAGUCUUUACUAGCGAUAUGCUACAUGUAUUUGAGUUUUACUUGAUAUGCUACAUGCUAUUGAGUCUUUACUAGCAACAUGCUACAUGCUAUUGAGUAAAGCCAGAGUGUCUAUGUAUGUGCUCUAACCACUAGGCUACCUGCCGCCCCAGAGCGACCUGUCUAACAGAACACAGAGAGUGUUCUUUAAUGGAAGCCUGUACAACAAAAUCAAAGGUAGAAUCAGGAAUUCCCCAGGGCAGCUGUUUGGCACCUACUUUUUCAAUCUUUACCAACAACAGUCCAAUGACAUUUGAGUAAAGCCAGUGAGUCUAUGUAUGCGGAUGACUCAGCACCGUACACGUCAGCUACUACAGCGACUGAAAUGACUGCAACACUUAACAUAGAGCUGCAGUUAGUUUCAGAAUGGGUGGCAAGGAAUAAGUUAGUCCUCUAAAUAUUUCCAAAACUUAAAAGCGUUUUUAUUUUGGACAAAUCACUCACUAAACCCUUAAACCUCAACUACCUCUCGUAUUGAGUAAUGAGUCAUGUGGAAAUUGAGCAAGUUGAGCUGACUAAACUGCUUGUAGCGUGAAACUGAAACAGUAACUCAGGCCACUUUAAUAAUGUUUACAUAUCUUACUUACUCCCUCUAUCACAUGUAUCACAUGAUAUAUACUGCAUUUUAUACCACCGGUGAGGAAGAGUCAAAGCAGAGCAACCAGGAAGUAAUUACCACUAGGAAACCAGUAGGCGGCGCAGUAACUCACUGCUCUCUGACAUCUUGUCAAUUAUAUCAUCUUUGUCAAGUCAGGAAGUAAUUACCGCCUGUUGAUGAAGCGUCCUAGCAUAGCAGAGCAACCAGGAAGUAAUUACCACUAGGAAACCAGUAGGCGGCGCAGUAACUCACUGCUCUCUGACAUCUUGUCAAUUAUAUCAUCUUUGUCAAGUCAGGAAGUAAUUGCCGCUGGUAACAAUAUGAUUGUCGGCCAUGUUUUCUCGAGUUAUAUGCAGCUUCGUGUGUCUUGUGUCCUCUGUAGCUGAGCCCACAUUUACCAACAACUUUAACUACAUCCAUCACACGUUCCGUGACCUGCCUGCCUCCUCUUUCUGACCUGGUCGUUGAACAGACAUUAUCACUCAGAAGGGUACGGAUGUCUGCUCUGCUCUGAGGGAAAAAGGCUUCUGUCCUUUCUCUAUGGGUCUUCUCUCAUGUUCCUGUCUCUGAUGGGAGUGUUUCCAGGCCUCCUUUCUCUAUGGGUCUUCUCUCAUGUUCCUGUCUCUGAUGGGAGUGUUUCCAGGCCUCCUUUCUCUAUGGGUCUUCUCUCAUGUUCCUGUCUCUGAUGGGCGUGUUUCCAGGCCUCCUUUCUCUAUGGGUCUUCUCUCAUGUUCCUGUCCUCUCUGAUGGGCGUGU